UACGUAGGGUGCAAGCGUUAAUCGGAAUUACUGGGCGUAAAGCGUGCGCAGGCGGCUUUGCAAGACAGAUGUGAAAUCCCCGGGCUUAACCUGGGAACUGCAUUUGUGACUGCAUGGCUGGAGUGCGGCAGAGGGGGGUAGAAUUCCACGUGUAGCAGUGAAAUGCGUAGAGAUGUGGAGGAACACCGAUGGCGAAGGCAGCCCCCUGGGUCAAGACUGACGCUCAUGCACGAAAGCGUGGGGAGCAAACAGG
rnacentral:rRNA from 1 species